GGAGACACCUGCCCAGCUGAGAGAGCACUGCAGAGGAGCUGGACCCGAACAGAGGUAGUCUGCGGGUGACCCCUCCACGCAGGGCGCAGACACGCCCAGAACGCGGGGUCCUGGGACCUGCCGGCGGGAAGGUGGAGGCGGACCGCAGAGAACGCGCGGAAGAGACAGUGCAGAGAUGAAAGCUGUUACUCGUAACUUGACAGCAUGCUCCCGUUAAAUGAUGUCCUGUGCAGGGGACCAAGAAAUGGACAAGAGGAAGAGAGGAGCUUCAAGUGUGUUUUGGGAGACUCUCAGGAAGCACAGCACAUCUCUGGUGAUCUAAGCCUCGAGGCCCGUGAUGCUGUCUUGGACCUGAAACACCCUCGCUUUCUCCUCUUCUGGUGCCAAGGAUGCUGCGGCUCCUCCAUGCUCGGGACAUGGUCCUGAAGCCGAGAUGCCCACACGCCUGCUUGAACCUCUGCGGGGCCUGCCUUCUCUGUCUCCAGCAAAGGAAAGGUAUUCACAGGGGCCUGGUGCCGGCCUGCCAGGCUUACGGCUCUUUCAAUGGCCACCGGGAAAAGCCACACACCUCCAGGCUUGAUAAAGCAAGACCUUCCAGGUGGAAGCAUAAGGACCUAAUUCCCCUGCCAUGAAUGCUUCUUGUCACUGGAUAAAUAGCCCAAAUCUCCAUAAUGCAGCCUUCUGUGUUUAUGUGACUAUGAAUUCUUGAUAUCUUUGAAUCCUCAGUAAGCAUGUACUUUCCAGAUGUCACGAUCCUUAAAUUACUGUUUUCCCCAACUAUAAGUAUGCUGCAAACAUACCUGUUCCUCU